rnacentral:ncRNA from 2 species
GAACACUGUUUUAUGCGGUUGAAGUAGUAGGUGGAAGAACUAAAAUAUUUGUAUAUUUUCAAUUGAAUAAAUUAGAUUUUCUGCCUGCAACUUCGAUUCGCAACGACCCCUGUUUA